AAUGGGCGAAAGCCUGACGGAGCAACGCCGCGUGAGUGAUGAAGGUCUUCGGAUCGUAAAACUCUGUUAUUAGGGAAGAACAUGACGGUACCUAAUCAGAAAGCCACGGCUAACUACGUGCCAGCAGCCGCGGUAAUACGUAGGUGGCAAGCGUUAUCCGGAAUUAUUGGGCGUAAAGCGCGCGUAGGCGGUUUUUUAAGUCUGAUGUGAAAGCCCACGGCUCAACCGUGGAGGGUCAUUGGAAACUGGAAAACUUGAGUGCAGAAGAGGAAAGUGGAAUUCCAUGUGUAGCGGUGAAAUGCGCGAAUAUGGAGGAACACCAGUGGCGAAGGCGACUUUCUGGUCUGUAACUGACGCUGAUGUGCGAAAGCGUGGGGAUCAAACAGGAUU
rnacentral:rRNA from 1 species